rnacentral:rRNA from 1 species
UGGGGAAUAUUGCGCAAUGGGGGGAACCCUGACGCAGCCAUGCCGCGUGAAUGAAGAAGGCCUUAGGGUUGUAAAGUUCUUUCGGUAUUGAGGAAGGUUGAUGUGUUAAUAGCACAUCAAAUUGACGUUAAAUACAGAAGAAGCACCGGCUAACUCCGUGCCAGCAGCCGCGGUAAUACGGAGGGUGCGAGCGUUAAUCGGAAUAACUGGGCGUAAAGGGCACGCAGGCGGUUAUUUAAGUGAGGUGUGAAAGCCCCGGGCUUAACCUGGGAAUUGCGUUUCAGACUGGGUAACUAGAGUACUUUAGGGAGGGGUAGAAUUCCACGUGUAGCGGUGAAAUGCGUAGAGAUGUGGAGGAAUACCGAAGGCGAAGGCAGCCCCUUGGGAAUGUACUGACGCUCAUGUGCGAAAGCGUGGGGAGCAAACAGGAUUAGAUACCCUGGUAGUCCACGCUGUAAACGCUGUCGAUUUGGGGGUUGGGGUUUAACUCUGGCGCCCGUAGCUAACGUGAUAAAUCGACCGCCUGGGGAGUACGGCCGCAAGGUUA